GAUGGAAGAACCCCUGCAGUAAGUGUCUACACUUCUCCACUACAGUGGUGCAGCUGCAGUGCUGCCACUGUAGCAUUUCUAGAGCAGACAGACCCUCACUUUAGAAGAGAGAUAUAACCUUGAAAUGUUGGUGCAUUCUCCAACCCACCAGCCAAACUGAGUCAAUAAGUCUAGGCUCUGUCAGACAAAGGAGGGAAACUAAUUCCAUAUCUGAGGACCAGCUCCCUUUCAUAUAAAGAAGGAUGAGAACCAAAUCUUAUACUGUCCCCAUCUCCUUUGGAUCUGAACAACUGUGUCUGGGGGGAGGGGGUAAACAGUUCAGAAUUCACAGAGAACCUGAAUCAGGAAAGCUUCUCUCUUCAGUUCCAACAGCCUCAGCAUGAAGUCCAGAAUCCUUGCAGCCUCCCAACCUCUUACUCUCUUUGACAGAUUCCCCCAG